rnacentral:tRNA from 1 species
UAAGGUGUUAUAAAAGACUUCUAAUCUUAAAUUAGUGAACACCACUACACCUUUA